rnacentral:rRNA from 1 species
UACGAAGGGGGCUAGCGUUGCUCGGAAUCACUGGGCGUAAAGGGUGCGUAGGUGGCGCUGUAAGUCAGGUGUGAAAUUUCGGAGCUCAACUUCGAAACUGCAUUCGAUACUGCCGUGCUUGAGGACUGGAGAGGAGACUGGAAUUUACGGUGUAGCGGUGAAAUGCGUAGAUAUCGUAAGGAAGACCAGUGGCGAAGGCGGGUCUCUGGACAGUUCCUGACGCUGAGGCACGAAGGCCAGGGGAGCAAACGGG